rnacentral:rRNA from 1 species
UGGCUUAAUUCGAGGCUACGCGAAGAACCUUAUCCUGGACUUGACAUGUGCGAAAGCGGUAGGAAGUAGCUUGCGGAAACGUGGAGCGAACGGUAUCCAGUCCGGACCCUACUACAGGUGCUGCAUGGCUGUCGUCAGCUCGUGUCGUGAGAUGUUGGGUUAAGUCCCGUAACGAGCGCAACCCUUGUCUCCAGUUGCCAGCGAGUCAUGUCGGGGACUCUGGAGAGACUGCCGGUGUUAAACCGGAGGAAGGUGGGGAUGACGUCAAGUCCUCAUGGCCUUUAUGUCCAGGGCUGCACACGUGCUACAAUGGCGUACACAGAGGGAAGCCAACCCGCGAGGGGGAGCCAAUCCCAAAAAAUACGCCUCAGUUCAGAUUGAAGGCUGCAACUCGCCUUCAUGAAGUUGGAAUCGCUAGUAAUCGCAGGUCAGCAACACUGCGGUGAAUGUGUUCCUGUGCCUUGUACACACCGCCCGUCAAGCCACGAAAGAUCGGAGCGCCCGAAGACGCCGUGCCAACCGUAAGGGGGCAGGCGG